AGAUCCAUUUUCUAUCAAGCCCCACUGUAAUCCAGAGAGCCUAUCGAAACACCCGCUGAUAGCAGGUAAAAUAUCCUCUGAAUUAAUGAGGGUAGGGUUUCUAACACUGGAUAAAGACAUUGUCAAUGACUUAGCUUCGCUACAAUUACGUUGGAAAUCCGUUUUCAGAAAGCUUUCAGAAAGGGAAGAUCGCGGUCUGUACAUUUAACGUACGACACCCCUAUUUAUGGCUUCAGGUGGAGGUCACGUGCUGGAAGAUCAAAGGCACGUACCGCUAGAUCAAAGCAGAAAGGAACUGAGCUGUGUGACGUCAUGCGGUGAGCGUUCACCUACAUGCACGUGCACACAAGUGAGCGAUCACUAAUAAAUCACAGAUGCAUAAACAGUGUUUUAGCUUCAGCGCCGGGGUUGAAGUCCGUGUUGUCAAACUUUCAAUCAUACCUGUAGCCAGUUCUUUGAAUCUCUCAAAUGGGUUGAGAUAGCGCUGUGCGUGGUGACUUUCUUUCACUGCAUCCGCCUGCACGGAGCUAGAUGCGCAAAGCUGUGUGAAGAUUCAGUCCUGUAACGUGUUGCGCUAUGGAAUUAAUGUUUUCUUGAAGAAUAUCCUGGCUGUUUUUUUUUAUGUGGUAGAAAUCUGCUGCAAGGACUGAGCGGUGCCAUCGAAGGACUGGAUGCCACUGGAGGUGCCUAGAAAGGACGUUCUCAAUCUGAAGGCCACCUGUUUCCUUGGAGGGUGGCUGACUCUCUUCUAGGCUCUCCUGACUGUUCCCUUUACAUGCUGAUGAUGUGUCUUGUAAAUCUGGAUCCCAUUCCAGCAGGACGCUCCUCUUCUUCAGACAGUACCUCAGCUGCUCUCUCUCCUGACAGUCAGCUGUCCACCUCUGCAUGGCCAGUCGAGCCAGCGCCGGCA